UACGUAGGGGGCAAGCGUUGUCCGGAAUCAUUGGGCGUAAAGAGCGUGUAGGCGGCCCGGUAAGUCCGCUGUGAAAGUCGAGGGCUCAACCCUCGAAUGCCGGCGGAUACUGUCGGGCUAGAGUCCGGAAGAGGCGAGUGGAAUUCCUGGUGUAGCGGUGAAAUGCGCAGAUAUCAGGAGGAACACCUACGGCGAAGGCAGCUCGCUGGAACGGUACUGACGCUGAGGCGCGAAAGCGUGGGGAGCAAACAGG
rnacentral:rRNA from 1 species